rnacentral:lncRNA from 1 species
CAAGUAAAUCUAAAUCAAGCCUGAGAUAAGCUGAAAAUAAUAAUUCCCACUCAUGAUCACAAUAAAAAAUUGCUAAUAAUAAAAAACACUACUGAAAUUCACAAUAACCAAUUCCAAUAGGAAAAGUCCAGAAUUCAAUAAAUAAAAUCCAACAAUAAUCAGAACCUGUUUUCACCAAUCGUAAAAGUCUGCUCCAACCAUUUCUCAACCCUUAAUCGAGAACAAAACUGAGGAUAGAACCUUCAAAUUGUUAAUGAACUCGAGCAGAUGAAGAAAAGCACUAAGCAAAAAUGUCUCCUCACAUAACAAUGUAGCAUAAAAAUUACAGCUUUCUUACAGUCAAACAAAUAAACCCCAUAUAAAAAUCCGAAACUGCUAUGCAGAGGAUUAUCACCAAUGUCUUCUCCAAUUAAUUAGUCCUCAUUUACAAUAAUAGGUCUUAAUUAUGGAUGUACCAAUUUUACAUGUUGACCCAAUUACAUUAAGCAUCCAAUUUGAAUAUUCAGGUUGAAGGAUAAAAACUAUCAGAACCUGGAAGUACUACCUGGUAGAGUCGACUUAAGAGUCAAAAUUCUUCAAGCGCUCACAUACAGUCCCUGAUCCACCAAAAACUUAAAUGAGCCAGAUAAAUCGUCCGGGAAAAUCAUAAACAACGAAAGAAUCUGAGCCAGAAGAGAAGCCGGCAAGAUGAGCUGUCGACGGCACGUCCAGAAGAACCACCACCUAUUUUGAAGAUUGAACUCAAAUUUUUUAGGAGAUUUUGACCGAUGGAAAAAAAUUUGAGGAACAGUCCAAUCCACUGAAUAACUUUGGGAAAAAUAGGAG